CCUGGUGGCUCAGAUGGUACAGAAUCUGCCUGCAAUGCAGGAGACCCAGGUUCAAUCCCUGGGUCAGGA
rnacentral:tRNA from 1 species